UACAGAGGUCUCAAGCGUUGUUCGGAUUCAUUGGGCGUAAAGGGUGCGUAGGCGGAUUGUUAAGUCAGGGGUGAAAUCCUGGAGCUCAACUCCAGAACUGCCUUUGAUACUGGCGAUCUUGAGUCCGGGAGAGGUGAGUGGAACUGCGAGUGUAGAGGUGAAAUUCGUAGAUAUUCGCAAGAACACCAGUGGCGAAGGCGGCUCACUGGCCCGGUACUGACGCUGAGGUGCGAAAGCGUGGGGAGCAAACAGG
rnacentral:rRNA from 1 species